GCAGGUUGAAGGUUGGGUAACACUAACUGGAGGACCGAACCGACUAAUGUUGAAAAAUUAGCGGAUGACUUGUGGCUGGGGGUGAAAGGCCAAUCAAACCGGGAGAUAGCUGGUUCUCCCCGAAAGCUAUUUAGGUAGCGCCUCGUGAAUUCAUCUCCGGGGGUAGAGCACUGUUUCGGCAAGGGGGUCAUCCCGACUUACCAACCCGAUGCAAACUGCGAAUACCGGAGAAUGUUAUCACGGGAGACACACGGCGGGUGCUAACGUCCGUCGUGAAGAGGGAAACAACCCAGACCGCCAGCUAAGGUCCCAAAGUCAUGGUUAAGUGGGAAACGAUGUGGGAAGGCCCAGACAGCCAGGAUGUUGGCUUAGAAGCAGCCAUCAUUUAAAGAAAGCGUAAUAGCUCACUGGUCGAGUCGGCCUGCGCGGAAGAUGUAACGGGGCUAAACCAUGCACCGAAGCUGCGGCAGCGACACUAUGUGUUGUUGGGUAGGGGAGCGUUCUGUAAGCCUGUGAAGGUGUACUGUGAGGUAUGCUGGAGGUAUCAGAAGUGCGAAUGCUGACAUAAGUAACGAUAAAGCGGGUGAAAAGCCCGCUCGCCGGAAGACCAAGGGUUCCUGUCCAACGUUAAUCGGGGCAGGGUGAGUCGACCCCUAAGGCGAGGCCGAAAGGCGUAGUCGAUGGGAAACAGGUUAAUAUUCCUGUACUUGGUGUUACUGCGAAGGGGGGACGGAGAAGGCUAUGUUGGCCGGGCGACGGUUGUCCCGGUUUAAGCGUGUAGGCUGGUUUUCCAGGCAAAUCCGGAAAAUCAAGGCUGAGGCGUGAUGACGAGGCACUACGGUGCUGAAGCAACAAAUGCCCUGCUUCCAGGAAAAGCCUCUAAGCAUCAGGUAACAUCAAAUCGUACCCCAAACCGACACAGGUGGUCAGGUAGAGAAUACCAAGGCGCUUGAGAGAACUCGGGUGAAGGAACUAGGCAAAAUGGUGCCGUAACUUCGGGAGAAGGCACGCUGAUAUGUAGGUGAAGCGACUUGCUCGUGGAGCUGAAAUCAGUCGAAGAUACCAGCUGGCUGCAACUGUUUAUUAAAAACACAGCACUGUGCAAACACGAAAGUGGACGUAUACGGUGUGACGCCUGCCCGGUGCCGGAAGGUUAAUUGAUGGGGUCAGCGCAAGCGAAGCUCUUGAUCGAAGCCCCGGUAAACGGCGGCCGUAACUAUAACGGUCCUAAGGUAGCGAAAUUCCUUGUCGGGUAAGUUCCGACCUGCACGAAUGGCGUAAUGAUGGCCAGGCUGUCUCCACCCGAGACUCAGUGAAAUUGAACUCGCUGUGAAGAUGCAGUGUACCCGCGGCAAGACGGAAAGACCCCGUGAACCUUUACUAUAGCUUGACACUGAACAUUGAGCCUUGAUGUGUAGGAUAGGUGGGAGGCUUUGAAGUGUGGACGCCAGUCUGCAUGGAGCCGACCUUGAAAUACCACCCUUUAAUGUUUGAUGUUCUAACGUGGACCCGUAAUCCGGGUUGCGGACAGUGUCUGGUGGGUAGUUUGACUGGGGCGGUCUCCUCCUAAAGAGUAACGGAGGAGCACGAAGGUUGGCUAAUCCUGGUCGGACAUCAGGAGGUUAGUGCAAUGGCAUAAGCCAGCUUGACUGCGAGCGUGACGGCGCGAGCAGGUGCGAAAGCAGGUCAUAGUGAUCCGGUGGUUCUGAAUGGAAGGGCCAUCGCUCAACGGAUAAAAGGUACUCCGGGGAUAACAGGCUGAUACCGCCCAAGAGUUCAUAUCGACGGCGGUGUUUGGCACCUCGAUGUCGGCUCAUCACAUCCUGGGGCUGAAGUAGGUCCCAAGGGUAUGGCUGUUCGCCAUUUAAAGUGGUACGCGAGCUGGGUUUAGAACGUCGUGAGACAGUUCGGUCCCUAUCUGCCGUGGGCGCUGGAGAACUGAGGGGGGCUGCUCCUAGUACGAGAGGACCGGAGUGGACGCAUCACUGGUGUUCGGGUUGUCAUGCCAAUGGCACUGCCCGGUAGCUAAAUGCGGAAGAGAUAAGUGCUGAAAGCAUCUAAGCACGAAACUUGCCCCGAGAUGAGUUCUCCCUGACUCCUUGAGAGUCCUGAAGGAACGUUGAAGACGACGACGUUGAUAGGCCGGGUGUGUAAGCGCAGCGAUGCGUUGAGCUAACCGGUACUAAUGAACCGUGAGGCUUAACCUU
rnacentral:rRNA from 1 species